AUUGAACGCUGGCGGCAGGCCUAACACAUGCAAGUCGAACGAGUGGCGGACUGGUUAGUAAUGUCUGGGAAAGUGACUGAUGGAGGGGGAUAACUACGGGAAAAGGUAGAUAAUACCGCAUACCCUCGGAUGUGCCCAGAUGGGAGUAGCUAGUAGGUGGGUUAACGGCUCACCUAGGCGACGAUGCCUAGCUGGCCUGAGAGGAUGACCGGCCACACUGGAACUGAGACACGGCCCAGACUCCUACGGGAGGCAGCAGUGGGGAAUAUUGCACAAUGGGCGCAAGGCUGAUGCAGCCAUGCCGCGUGUGUGAAGAAGGCCUUCGGGUUGUAAAGUACUGUCAUCGGGGAGGCGUUACCCGAAGAAGAAGCACCGGCUAACUCCGUGCCAGCAGCCGCGGUAAUAC
rnacentral:rRNA from 1 species